rnacentral:rRNA from 1 species
CGUGAGUAACCUGCCCUUAACUCUGGGAUAAGCCUGGGAAACUGGGUCUAAUACCGGAUAUGACUCCUCAUCGCAUGGUGGGGGGUGGAAAGCUUUAUUGUGGUUUUGGAUGGACUCGCGGCCUAUCAGCUUGUUGGUGAGGUAAUGGCUCACCAAGGCGACGACGGGUAGCCGGCCUGAGAGGGUGACCGGCCACACUGGGACUGAGACACGGCCCAGACUCCUACGGGAGGCAGCAGUGGGGAAUAUUGCACAAUGGGCGAAAGCCUGAUGCAGCGACGCCGCGUGAGGGAUGACGGCCUUCGGGUUGUAAACCUCUUUCAGUAGGGAAGAAGCGAAAGUGACGGUACCUGCAGAAGAAGCGCCGGCUAACUACGUGCCAGCAGCCGCGGUAAUACGUAGGGCGCAAGCGUUAUCCGGAAUUAUUGGGCGUAAAGAGCUCGUAGGCGGUUUGUCGCGUCUGCCGUGAAAGUCCGGGGCUCAACUCCGGAUCUGCGGUGGGUACGGGCAGACUAGAGUGAUGUAGGGGAGACUGGAAUUCCUGGUGUAGCGGUGAAAUGCGCAGAUAUCAGGAGGAACACCGAUGGCGAAGGCAGGUCUCUGGGCAUUAACUGACGCUGAGGAGCGAAAGCAUGGGGAGCGAACAGGAUUAGAUACCCUGGUAGUCCAUGCCGUAAACGUUGGGCACUAGGUGUGGGGGACAUUCCACGUUUUCCGCGCCGUAGCUAACGCAUUAAGUGCCCCGCCUGGGGAGUACGGCCGCAAGGCUAAAACUCAAAGGAAUUGACGGGGGCCCGCACAAGCGGCGGAGCAUGCGGAUUAAUUCGAUGCAACGCGAAGAACCUUACCAAGGCUUGACAUGAACCGGAAAUACCUGGAAACAGGUGCCCCGCUUGCGGUCGGUUUACAGGUGGUGCAUGGUUGUCGUCAGCUCGUGUCGUGAGAUGUUGGGUUAAGUCCCGCAACGAGCGCAACCCUCGUUCUAUGUUGCCAGCGCGUUAUGGCGGGGACUCAUAGGAGACUGCCGGGGUCAACUCGGAGGAAGGUGGGGACGACGUCAAAUCAUCAUGCCCCUUAUGUCUUGGGCUUCACGCAUGCUACAAUGGCCGGUACAAAGGGUUGCGAUACUGUGAGGUGGAGCUAAUCCCAAAAAGCCGGUCUCAGUUCGGAUUGGGGUCUGCAACUCGACCCCAUGAAGUCGGAGUCGCUAGUAAUCGCAGAUCAGCAACGCUGCGGUGAAUACGUUCCCGGGCCUUGUACACACCGCCCGUCAAGUCACGAAAGUUGGUAACACCCGAAGCC